CAGCAUUGUAGACCUUGAAAAGAUGCUGCCAUCAUCAGGUAGUGCUCAUGCAGUUGCUGGAGUACCUGAAGCAAUUCCAUUGCUGGUUUCUUAGAUGGAUUGGAUUUAUCCUGCAGCAUACCAUCAAAAGGAGGCCGACUGCCAAUAGAAGCUAGAUUACAACUUAAUGGGUCAUGCACCAGCUAGUAAGGUACUGCCACGAAACGAUUAAAUAAGCAGGAUCAAAUGUGAACCAUGCAGCUUCGAUAAUGUGGGCCAAUGUCAGCAGUAAAGGAGUAACCAUCUGAAGUAGAAAGGUUGUGGAUACACUUAACUGCAAGCUUGUUUCUUUCACCUUUUGGUAAGCAAAUGAUGAAGAUAACUGUCCAUAUAAGUGUGCCUGAGCUGACACAGAGUUUUAUGUUCUUGAUCAGGGUUUUGCAUAGCCAUCUAAAUGGGUGCAAGCGUGGAGGUAAACGUGAGUUUAUGUAGCUGAUAAUAGGUCGCAUCCAUGCUGGUACUGGUGGCAGUUUCAGCCCACAAUACACAAAGAUCAGGUGUAAUGGCCUUCUCCAUAUGACUGCUGCCACUGUGGCUGCAACAAUGGCUAGUAUGAAAUGAAGCGGCUUCUUGGGGUUAAAGCGUAGUGGAAAUUGAAGCGACACGGACAGCGCAGCAUCUAUUAGAGGAAUGGCUAGUUCAAGAGGAGGUUGGAAGUUGCUCUCUGUAGCAACUCCUAUUGUUGCCUCACCUCCUGUGGCGGUUUCACUCUGCUCCUCCAUUUCUGCAGAAUAGAAAAAGUUCAUAGUAAAAGGAAGUAUGAUGGUUGGCUAGUUAGAGUAUUUGCAGGGACAUAAAUAUCUUCUGCUUGUUUUCUUUUCAAAGUAUUUUGUAUACAAAGUCAAUGCAGCUUAGCAGGUACUAUAAUAGCAAUUAAAAUGUUAAUGUUUCAGUUCUUUA